CCAGACUCCUACGGGAGGCAGCAGUGGGGGAUAUUGCACAAUGGGGGGAACCCUGAUGCAGCGACGCCGCGUGGGUGAAGGAGCGUUUCGGCGCGUAAAGCCCUAUCGGCAGGGAAGAAGGAGGACGGUACCUGACUAAGAAGCCCCGGCUAACUACGUGCCAGCAGCCGCGGGAAUACGUAGGGGGCAAGCGUUAUCCGGAUUUACUGGGGUUAAAGGGGGCGCAGACGGCGAUGCAAGCCAGGAGUGAAAGCCCGGGGCCCAACCCCGGGCCUGCCGUUGAAACUGGGUGGCUAGAGUGCAGGAGGGGCAGGCGGAAUUCCUGGUGUAGCGGUGAAAUGCGUAGAUAUCAGGAGGAACACCGGUGGCGAAGGCGGCCUGCUGGACUGCAACUGACGUUGAGGCCCGAAAGCGUGGGGAGCAAACAGGAUUAGAUACCCUAGUA
rnacentral:rRNA from 1 species